AAGGAAGGAAGGAAGGAAGGAAAGACUGACGACAUAUAGGAAAGCACAUUUCUAAUCCAUUUAACAGUGCCAGAUGUGUCAUGCUGAAUGACAUUCAUAGCAGGGCAAGGAUGGAGGUGUCUUGGGAUCAGCUCAGUCCUGACUCCCCUCCUAUACCUCCCAGCUUUCCCAGAGAGAUCAUUUUCCAAAGCCCACUUUGGGCCACUUUCCCAGGGGGUGACCCCGUUGGCGAUCAUCAGUCUAUCCUGAGGUCAACGCCCCUCUGACAGCUUCCUCCUCAGGGCUGAGGGCGGGAAGGAGGAAUUUGGUACCUGGCCUCACUUGGCAAUGACCUAGUCUGCAGAGGCAGUGGGGUGGGAGGAUGGGGGUGAGCAGAGGGCAGGUGCUCUGGGGCCCCCACCCCUCUCCUAUGAGCUUCCUGAGAGCAGAAAUUGUGUCUUACCUGCCUCUAACCCACCCCUGGCACAGAGAAGGUACCUCUGAGUGUGAAGUGAGCAGCACAGGAGCCAGGACUGGCAGAACUGAGAUAGAAACGGAUGUUCUGCUCAGGGAGACAGAGAUAAAACACCUUCCUAGGGGGUGUGCAGUAGCAUCUAGACAGGGACUGGGAAGAGCACGCAGACCCCUGGGGCCCCUAAAGCUGAGACCAGGUUGGACUUGUCUUCUCUUCACGCUCAGGGUCUGCCUGUCUCCAGCAACCCUACUGUGGCUGAUGACCUGUCAGUGACUCACAGCCAGCUGUGGGCAUGAAGGGGAGAAAGUGGCCCCCAGCUGAGCUCAAGCACUCAUAAUUAGCCCUCGACGCCCCCUCGCCACAGAGAGCCUCCCAGCGUCCACGCACGCACGUCCCAGGCUGCCCUUUCCCAACCACAGCGUGCCUCUUGCUGCUUAUUUUAGCCUGACGAAGCCUCUUGAAAUGUCAGACCUGGAACCAAGCUUGGAUCAUGCGGUUCAACCCUUUCACUCAACCAGGGAGAAAAUGGGAAUUCAGAAAGAGCAAGUGAUGUGUUUCAAGUCACAUAGCUAAUGGCGCUGUGGCCAGAAAUUGACUGUAGGCUCUGGGGGCCCAAAUCCAGUUGUCUUUAACUCAGGGUUGGUGGUAGUGGUGGUGGGGAGGUGACUAUCUGCUUCAGGCAGCCCCUCACCAGAUUUCUGGAGCCUCUGGAGCUAGCGUAUCUGGAUUUGAAUCCUGAUUUGCCAGUUAUCGGCUGUGAGAGCAUCGGCAAGUUAUUCAGCAUCUCUGUGCCUACAUUUUCCCAUCUGUAAAAUAAGGCUAACGAUGAUGCCUCUCUCCCAGGUUGACGUGUGGAUUGAAUAGGUUACUAAGUCUGCAUUGCUGAGAGCAGGGCUGGGCACAUAACAGUACUCAGAAUGUGUUAGCUAACAUUCUCAGGUGCUUGGAGGAGCCACAAGACUUGAUCCUUGGUGUACAAAGUUCAAAAUUUUGGUUUUAUCGGUUUGCCCAAGAGUGAGUAGAUUCCAGGAGGCUGGCCAUAUAUCCGGGCUUGAUGUUUGGUGUUACCAUGGGGACAGAUGUUGCUGUGAGAAGGACCUCAGUGGGCACAGAGGCUGUCUCUCCUGCUCUAGCAGCCACCACCUGAGAAUCGAAGUCUGCAGACAUCACAGCAAUGGCACUUGGAGAUUCUCAGAGCUGUUCAAGCUGGGUGAGCCUGAAGAACUGCUCUUCUGAACUCAAUAACAAUCCUCUGUCCAUCUGCAAAGUGGGGGAAAUCGUAGCCUCUAACUCACGGAGUGGUUGUGUGCCUGAGAUCGAGUGACACGGUACCUGGCACUGUCCUUUCCAGCCCUCCUCCCUCUCCCUCUACACCACCUUCAUCACUUGCUGGAGGCCAAUCAUCUCAUCUCAAUGCAGAGCAGCCUCUCCUGGAUCCAGUUGAAUAAAUAUUGACAAAUUCUUUUCCUUCCAAGUUCUUCCUUUAUCAGUCACCAAAGCUCUGACAGCUCACACCAGAUGAACUAUGGUUCCAGAACACGUACAAGACUGGGGUGGUCUCAUUCCAGCCCCAGAGAUGCUUGUUGAAUGGCUGACUCAGUUAAUCAAUGAAUGAAGCAAUUCCCAGAACCUCCUGAAAACUCAUUCUGAGCUCUCAACAUUGGGCAACAUCCUGGUUUCCACAGAGCCCCAGCCGCAAACCACCUCUGAAGAGAGGCUGCUCACAGUCAUCUUGCCUGCCCUUGCCAUCUUAACUCUCAGUAACACAGCCACAUUUCUCUGCCUCCACCCCACCAUCCCGUCUACAACCAGGUGUGUUCGCAGCCACCCCCAGCAGGAGUGCUGUCACAAACUUUCUGCUGCCCACAUGCCCUUUCCUGAUCCCCAAGGCACGGCUGCCCCCCAUUAAUUCCACCCAAUCUCCUAUGAUGACCUGCAUAAGAAAACAGACUUUUUUUUUUUACAUGUUAUUCUAGUUCCACUGAUAGCCCAAGAUGCUGGCCAAGCCCCAGUCCUUGCCCUGUCAGCCCCAGCAGGCCCUCAUCCAUUGAAUCCUGCAAUCGGUGGCCUACUAGUCACCAGUUACAUCGCCUGCUAUCCGGACUCUUGUCGGUCAGACAAACUGAAACUCUUCAGACUGGGAGGCCAGCCAAAGCCAGCUGGGUGUUUGUGCCCCUUCGAAGGCUGGGAUGCUGAACAUUAGUUCUGUCCUCAUGUGCCAGGACUUGAGCUGGGCAUUGCCUCCAGUUUUGUUCCAAUUUUCUCCUCAUCAUUGACCCACUGGCUAGGCCUAUGCAUGGUUCUGGGCCACCAGCGUCCCUACACACCAAUCAGAUGAUUCUAAAAGUCUCCAAGCCGAAAGAUCCUAAAGAAUCACCCACUCUGGUAGAGAUACUCCUAAAUAUUUUAAAAAUGUGUUAGGGUCUCUUUCAUUGCAAUAAUGAUUAGGGAUGCUCUGGCAUUGGGUGCUAUAGGCCAGAGAUGCUAAAUGUCCUACAAUACACAAGGCAGUCUGUGCAAUGAAGAAUUAUACCCCUUCCUUCCUUGGAGAAACACUGACUAGUCAACAGUACUUCAUGUGCAGUUGUAACAACUAAGAUCCAGGGAGAAUAAGUCCAAGGUUAUACAGAUUUGUCUUAUAGGCAAUAUAAUGAAGAGGACCCAGGAGUCCUAAUUCUUGAGGAUUUCACUGUCAUCUGUUCUCAGAACCCACUAGCAGUUACCAGGUUUGUGAUAUUGUGGGAGGGUCAAAGACCAAUGUGAGGCAUCAGGAAGGCUUCACAGAGGCAUCAUUUGAGCUGAGCCCUGAAGGAUGGCUCACAGGCUUCUGACUUCUGGAAGCAGGGGAGAGCAUAGUGGGCAAUGGUGAAGCAUGAGACCCAGUGUCCAGAAGUGAAGGUGGCUGAGAAAUGAGCACAGGCUUUGAGAAGAAUGCAGUGGUGAACAGGGAAUGACUGAAAGGUGACUCUAAGCUAGAUCACAGAGGUCUUUUCAUGUCAAGCUGAGUAUUGAGAUUUUCUGCUAAGGGCAAUGGGAAGCCACUGAUGAUAUCAGAGUACAAGGUAUAUACAAUGAUGAGCUCUGUGCUUAAGAGGAAGUUUACUGAGGCUGCCUGUAGAGAAGCGAUGGGAGGAAAUUAUGGGGACAGGAAACCACUGUCAGAACAGCCUAGGUGAAAAACACACAUGAGGUCAUGAUGAAGACAGGGUCAAGGGGAUGAAAUAAGGAAAAGGAGACCACCUCAGAACCAAGCAACAUUGCAGGGGUUGGUGAUGUCCUUAUUAAAAUAAAGGAUAUUAUCUUGGUUUGAGUUCCCCUGGAAGUAGACCCUAAGAAAAGGAUUUUAAUACAGUUUAUUUGGAAGAUGAUCUCAAGGAAUUACAAUAGGAGAAUAGGGAAAUCAUGCAGGAAAGGGAAGGUAGCCCAAAAAAAGUGCAUCGUAUCAAACCAGUUACCCCUAUGGGCAACUGAAAAUCAAACUUGCUGGAGAUCUCUGGAGGACAGUCGAGAACACAUGUUUCUGAUUUAAUCCUUGAAGAGCAAGGGAGUUGGGGUAUUUAUCCACUGAUUCCUGGGAGCAUUAACUCUCUGGCACUUUCGGAAUGUCACACAUGCAGGAGCAGGCUCUGCAGCCAGAAAAAGCCCUGAGGUAUAGAGUCUCAGGGGUUUGCAAUUGGAAGCUACCAAGUAGCUGUGUAGGAAAACAGCGAGUACCUAUAAAAUGGGGCAAGGCACCGAUACUAUCUGCAACACACAUUCUUUACAUACAAGUGAAGUGAGUUAGCCAAGAUGGCCCCUUGUCUAAAAAUGACUCCAUAAAUGAACCAGAUAGGAUAUUUCUGAGAGAGGGCCCCGAUAGCUGAAAUGCCUAGCUUCUGUGACCCCAGAAAGGCAGAGAAGGAAUCCGAAGUAUGUGAUCAUCUCCUGCCACCUCCCUCCUCCCUACACUUCCGAGCUAGGCCCGGCUCAACCAUUUCCGAGCUCCAACGGAUAUAACAAUUCACAGAUAAACCAAAUCUCAAGCAGCAGCUGAGAGGAAGCCUAUCAAUAAUGAGACCUAACGCAGUUACUGGGCAGACUGGCUUUGGGAAGAAGCAGAUGUCUGCCUGCUCUUCACCGGGGCCUGGGCGAGGCCCUGGGGCUCCAGAGAGGAGAGACACUGUCCUUGACCUCCAGACCACAAGUAGUGGAGGAGACAAUAGCAGUUGAGUAUGAGGAGAGUGGCUGCUGCUGGGGUGCCCCCUGAAAGAGCUGGAGCCAGGGAGAAGAGGGUUGUAUAUAUGUAUUUUUGACAAAAUUGGAACUAUAUUGCGCAUAAUGCAUAUUUUUAAGCAAUAGUUUCUCACCUUAAUAAUCAUCCAUGACAUGGUUUCACCAGGCUACGUCAUAUUAAAUAAUGUGGAUGUGCCAUAAUUCAGUAGUCAUUUCUCUGCUGUUGGGCAUUUAAUUUUUUCCUAGUUUCCAUGGGUAUACACAGUGCUAUGGUUCUCAUACAAAAAUAGCUGUUCAUUUCUUUGAUUACUAUUCUAAAACAAAGUCCUAGAAGCAGAA